rnacentral:tRNA from 1 species
AGCCCCGACGAGCGCCAAAGUGCAAAUUUGGAGACGCACCCCAACAGGUGCCGGGGCUUC